AGAGUUUGAUCAUGGCUCAGGAUGAACGCUGGCGGCGUGCUUAACACAUGCAAGUCGAACGCUGAAGCCCCAGCUUGCUGGGGUGGAUGAGUGGCGAACGGGUGAGUAACACGUGAGUAACCUUCCCUUGACUCUGGGAUAAGCCCGGGAAACUGGGUCUAAUACCGGAUACGACCUCCUGCCGCAUGGUGUGGGGGUGGAAAGAUUUAUCGGUUUUGGAUGGACUCGCGGCCUAUCAGCUUGUUGGUGAGGUAAUGGCUCACCAAGGCGACGACGGGUAGCCGGCCUGAGAGGGUGACCGGCCACACUGGGACUGAGACACGGCCCAGACUCCUACGGGAGGCAGCAGUGGGGAAUAUUGCACAAUGGGCGCAAGCCUGAUGCAGCGACGCCGCGUGAGGGAUGACGGCCUUCGGGUUGUAAACCUCUUUCAGUAGGGAAGAAGCGAAAGUGACGGUACCUGCAGAAGAAGCGCCGGCUAACUACGUGCCAGCAGCCGCGGUAAUACGUAGGGCGCGAGCGUUAUCCGGAAUUAUUGGGCGUAAAGAGCUCGUAGGCGGUUUGUCGCGUCUGCCGUGAAAGUCCGGGGCUUAACCCCGGAUCUGCGGUGGGUACGGGCAGACUAGAGUGCAGUAGGGGAGACUGGAAUUCCUGGUGUAGCGGUGAAAUGCGCAGAUAUCAGGAGGAACACCGAUGGCGAAGGCAGGUCUCUGGGCUGUUACUGACGCUGAGGAGCGAAAGCAUGGGGAGCGAACAGGAUUAGAUACCCUGGUAGUCCAUGCCGUAAACGUUGGGCACUAGGUGUGGGGGACAUUCCACGUUUUCCGCGCCGCAGCUAACGCAUUAAGUGCCCCGCCUGGGGAGU
rnacentral:rRNA from 1 species